AUUCGUCACACGUUGAAAGUUCAUCAAACUAACUCGACGAAUGUUGAGUGAAAGUACUUUUAUUGUUGGAUAACUUUUUACUAGCUUAUAACGUGCUAGUUACUUUAAGAUACCUUGCGAAAGGCGAUUUCUACAGUGAAGUCGGGGAUCUACAUGGGAUCAGCAGGAGUUCCGUGUCGAGAUCGAUUACUGUGGUGGUGGCAGCGCUUGAAAAAAAAUUGGACACAAUCCAUUUUCCAAUAACAGCUGAAGACUUCAGAAGAGUCAAAACUGUUUUUUUUAGGCUGGGAAAAAUUCCAAAUGUUAUUGGUGCUGUUGAUGGAACCUUAAUACCCAUAAUUGCACCAAGUGAGGCGGAGGAGGUGUAUGUAUGCCGGAAGGGCUACCAUGCUAUAAAUGUUCAAGCGGUCGUGGACCAUGA